CCACCUUAGCUACUGAUUUCAUUGAAUAGAAAACUUCCAUUCUCAAAAUUUGCAUUUCUACAUAAAUUAUUUAUUUAAAUUUUGUUGUAUAAAUUGCCUCAUUUAUUAUAGGCUAGCAAUAUUUCAAAUGGUGGAGCUUCUUUCAACUCCUUCAGUCUUCUCAUGACUGACUUUGCUGUGACAGCAGACGUGGUGUUGUAGUUCCAGGCACCACCUGCUCGCUAUGGUUUGCAUGCAGGAACCACAAUGCCAGAUCCCCACAGCUCAUCUUUUCAUCUUGGUUUUGCCACACAAGGAGGAAGAGAUGGAAGAGCACACGUGUGA